rnacentral:rRNA from 2 species
CCUACGGGGGGCAGCAGUGGGGAAUAUUGGACAAUGGGCGCAAGCCUGAUCCAGCCAUGCCGCGUGAGUGAUGAAGGCCUUAGGGUUGUAAAGCUCUUUUGUCCGGGAAGAUAAUGACUGUACCGGAAGAAUAAGCCCCGGCUAACUUCGUGCCAGCAGCCGCGGUAAUACGAAGGGGGCUAGCGUUGCUCGGAAUCACUGGGCGUAAAGGGCGCGUAGGCGGACUUUUAAGUCGGAGGUGAAAGCCCAGGGCUCAACCCUGGAAUUGCCUUCGAUACUGGGAGUCUUGAGUUCGGAAGAGGUUGGUGGAACUGCGAGUGUAGAGGUGAAAUUCGUAGAUAUUCGCAAGAACACCGGUGGCGAAGGCGGCCAACUGGUCCGAAACUGACGCUGAGGCGCGAAAGCGUGGGGAGCAAACAGGAUUAGAUACCCCAGUAGUCG